AGGGGAUGGAAGCUCUUCCAUAGUGAUCCUUGGCUAUAAAUAGUAAUGUUUACAAGAUCCACCUUGAUCUAUUUUUUCAUUCCCUUAUCUACUCCAUUGGCAUUAUUUGGCCCAUGCUAAUAUUUUCAGGCUCAGCAGGCCUGUUAUUCCUAGCCACAUUCCAUCAAGUGACUCUCUGUAUUCAAUAAACUAAUAGACGUGUCACCUCUUCCUCCAUUUCUGAUGAGAUUAAUUGGAAUAUUUCCUGAUUGUAGUAGGUUAUUAGUGGGCAAAGAAAUGUCUGGCAGUCCUCACCAAAGGAAUCUCUGGAAGCUCAAUGGCAACUGUCUUCACAGUAAACAGCAGGAUUUUUAGACUGCUUUCUUCAAAUUCAGUAUGAAAAUACUGUUGUUCCAGCACCAACCGCAGAAUCAAGGCAGCGAGGACCCUGGGAUCAUGGCUGCUUCCUAAU